UUUUGGUUAAUAAUUUAAAGUCUAAUCUGCCCCCUGAUAAUAUAUUAAAGGGCUGCAGUAUUUUGACUGUACAAAGGUAGCAUAAUCAUUAGUCUCUUAAUUGGUGACUUGUAUGAAAGAUUUGAUGAGAUAUAUACUGUCUCUUUUUAAUUUAUAAAAUUUAAUUUUUUAGUUAAAAAGCUAGAAUAUAUUUAAAAGACGAGAAGACCCUAUAGAGUUUUAUAUUUAUAUAAAUUAAAAUUUUUUAUAAACUUUAAAAUUUUAAUUUAUAUAAAUAUUUUGUUGGGGUGAUAAAAAAAUUAAAAUAACUUUUUUUAUAAUUUUACAUUAAUAAAUGAAUAAAUGAUCCGUAAUUUACGAUUAUAAGAUAAAAUUACCUUAGGGAUAACAGCGUAAUUUUUUUUUUUAGUUCAAAUAAGAAAAAAAGUUUGCGACCUCGAUGUUGGAUUAAGAUAAAAUUUAAAUGCAAAAGUUUAAAAUUUUUGAUCUG
rnacentral:rRNA from 1 species